AAUGUAUUUUUUUUCAAACAGCACAGCAAGUUGGACAACAACAACAACAAAAUACUUGCCUGACUUGGCCACUCCUGAGGUUGGUUUCCAGUCUUUGGCCUGUUAAAUCCCGGCUCCAGAACUCCCAGGAUUAAUGAACAGGACUUUCAAUAACAUUCCUAAAACCAUGCCUCCAAAGGU